CCUACGGGUGGCUGCAGUGAGGAAUAUUGGUCAAUGGGCGCUAGCCUGAACCAGCCAAGUAGCGUGAAGGAUGACUGCCCUAUGGGUUGUAAACUUCUUUUAUAGGGGAAUAAAGUGCAGUAUGUAUACUGCUUUGCAUGUACCUUAUGAAUAAGGAUCGGCUAACGCCGUGCAAGCAGCAGCGGUAAUACGGAGGAUCCGAGCGUUAUCCGGAUUUAUUGGGUUUAAAGGGAGCGUAGGCGGGUUGUUAAGUCAGUUGGUACAGUUUGCGGCUCAACCGUCAAAUUGCAGUUGCUACUGGCAUCCUUGCGUACAGUAGAGGUAGGCGGACUUCGUUGUGUAGCGG
rnacentral:rRNA from 1 species